GGAGUCGGCCGGACGGCCGCUGCUCCGGCGCCGUCCGCGGUGCCGGGGGGGAGGAAAGUCCGGGCUCCGCAGGGCAAGGUGCCAGGUAACGCCUGGGAGGCGCGAGCCUACGGAAAGUGCCACAGAAAACACACCGCCGAUGACCGCAAGCCGACCUCGUCGGCCUGCGGCACAGGCAAGGGUGAAAAGGUGCGGUAAGAGCGCACCGCGUCGCCGGCAACGGUGGCGGUCCCGGUAAACCCCACCUGGAGCAAGACCAAAUAGGGAAGCUACUGUGGCCCGCACGGCUUCCGGGUAGGUCGCUUGAGGCGGAUGGUGACGUUCGCCCCAGAGGAAUGGCCGUCCACGACAGAACCCGGCUUACAGGCCGACUCCCUCU
rnacentral:RNase_P_RNA from 1 species